rnacentral:rRNA from 1 species
CCUACGGGGGGCUGCAGUGGGGAAUAUUGCACAAUGGGGGAAACCCUAAGGCGCCACCGCCCCGUGAGGGAAAAGGCCUUUCGGUUCUAAAAGCUUUGUCCAACGGGAGGAAGAAUGAGGUAACCUUGGGAGGAAGCCCCGGCUAACAACUUGCCAGCACCGCCGGAAAACCGAAGGGGGCGAGCGUUAUCCGGAAUCCCUGGGCGAAAGGGGUGCGUAGGCGGCCGAUUAAGCCGGGGGUGAAAGGCUACGGCUCAACCGUAGUAAGCCCUUGGAACUGAUUGGCUUGAGUGCAGGGGAGGGGAGUGGAAUUCCUAGUGUAGCGGUGAAAUGCGUAGAUAUUAGGAGGAACACCAGUGGCGAAGGCGACUCUCUGGACUGUAACUGACGCUGAGGCACGAAAGCGUGGGGAGCAAACAGGAUUAGAUACCCUUGUAGUC